AUUUAUUUAAGAGAGGAAGUCAAGCCAAUUAGAUGAAGGAGGAAAACCACUUUUCCUCUGUGUAGGAUCUUCCAGAUUUCAUCAAAUCUGGGGUGGAAUAAAUUUUAAAUUUUAUCCUACGCUAUUUCAGAUCUGAUGUCUAUUAGAUCUAAUUUUAUUAUCUAAUAUUUUAAUUUCAAAAUUAAAUCUAAAAGUAUGAGAAACAUAGACAUACCUCAAGGGUAAUCUAAUUAUUCUGUAGAUGAUCGCAGCACUGCCUGAGGUUCUGAUGUAGCCAUGCAAGUGCCUGACCUCUACCAAUAUCCACUU
rnacentral:lncRNA from 1 species